CAGUAGCCGCGGUAAUACGUAGGUGGCAAGCGUUGUCCGGAAUUAUUGGGCGUAAAGGGCUCGCAGGCGGUUUCUUAAGUCUGAUGUGAAAGCCCCCGGCUCAACCGGGGAGGGUCAUUGGAAACUGGGAAACUUGAGUGCAGAAGAGGAGAGUGGAAUUCCACGUGUAGCGGUGAAAUGCGUAGAGAUGUGGAGGAACACCAGUGGCGAAGGCGACUCCCUGGUCUGUAACUGACACUGAGGAGCGAAAGCGUGGGGAGCGAACAGGAUUAGAUACCCCUGUAGUCCCUGUCUCUUAUAC
rnacentral:rRNA from 1 species